AAAUGGGAACCCUAAAAUCUCAAGUUUCUCUCUAACUCACACUAAGCUUCAAUUUCAAUUUUCUUCAAUUUCAAUUUUCUUCAGUGGCAAGGGAUUCAAGCUUUUCUGAGAGGUUCUUUGGUGGUGGUUUCUACGCCGACGAGUGACUUUGAUUGCGGAGGCUGCGGCGGUUGCUAUAGUAGCUAGAGGACUGAGAUUACUCUACUCUCAAUUUCGAUUUCAACGAUUUCACCCGAUUUCACCUUCUCUACUCCAAUCUUCUUCGUUCAAACUCUUCUCUCGACUCUUUUUGAGGCUGCCCUUGGUUUUCUUGUAUACUGGACUAUCUUCUGCACGCUAGCACUCAAUGGUUGGAAUUAAAUAGUUUGUAGGUGAAAUAGUUUGGUAGCAUGAAGUUAAGUUUAACAAGGCCAAAAUGGAGAAAACUUGGAGAUUGCUUGGACAUGAAGACAAAGUUUUUGGUCCACUUGUGGAAUAGGUCUAGGAAGGUUUAGGAUAAUGAUUUUCAGUAAGUCAAAGAUCUGGAGUUAACUGUUCUUUUUUGUGUAAUUUUUGCAAUUUCUUCAUGUUCUUGUGAUGGCUUUGCUUUGAAUGAUGUUUCACUUUAGCAUAUAUGACUCAACA